CUACGGGCUGCACCAGUGAGGAAUAUUGCACGAUGGGGGGAACCCUGAUGCAGCAACGCCGCGUGGAGGAUGACGCAUUUCGGUGUGUAAACUCCUUUUAUAUGUCGAGAAAAUGACGGUAGCAUAUGAAUAAGCACCGGCUAACUCCGUGCCAGCAGCCGCGGUAAUACGGAGGGUGCAAGCGUUACUCGGAAUCACUGGGCGUAAAGGACGCGUAGGCGGGUUGGAAAGUCAGGUGUGAAAUCCUACAGCUUAACUGUAGAACUGCACUUGAAACUUCUAAUCUAGAGUAUGGGAGGGGGAGAUGGAAUUAGUGGUGUAGGGGUAAAAUCCGUAGAUAUCACUAGGAAUACCUAAAGCGAAGGCGAUCUCCUGGAACAUUACUGACGCUAAGGCGUGAAAGCGUGGGGAGCAAACAGGAUUAGAUACCCCAGUAGUC
rnacentral:rRNA from 1 species